rnacentral:rRNA from 1 species
UACAGAGGGUGCGAGCGUUAAUCGGAAUUACUGGGCGUAAAGGGCGUGUAGGUGGCCAACUAAGUCCGACGUGAAAUCCCCAGGCUUAACCUGGGAACUGCGUCGGAUACUGGAUGGCUUGAAUUCGGGAGAGGAAUGCAGAAUUCCAGGUGUAGCGGUGAAAUGCGUAGAUAUCUGGAGGAAUACCGGUGGCGAAGGCGACAUCCUGGACCGGUAUUGACGCUGAGGCGCGAAAGCCAGGGGAGCAAACGGG